UUUCUUCUUCUUCUUCUUCUAAUUACGAUUUUUGUCAAAGACCUCAAAUUGUAUUCUCUGUUCUUCGUUCCCUUCUUGUUCACUCCUUUGCAAACUCAAAUUAGGGUUCGUAGGAACACUACAUGAUUUCACAAAUUCUUGUUCGAUGUGUGACCUUCAUCCUUCGAAUUUUGCAAUUUUAUUCAUGGUUUGAACAACCUCAAUAUUUUUUUUUGUGACCUUCACUCUCGAUUACUGAUUCUUUUUGUGACCUUCACUUGUAACCUUUUAUGUAACCUCAAUUUUGUUUUAUCUGAAACAUAAUUAUUCUUAGUUUAUUUUUUUAAGUCAGAUCUUGAGUUUAAUUUUGAAAAGUUGAUUAUGAAGGAAGGAAAAUUGGAACUUGAUUAUGCAGUAAAACUUAACAGGAUAUUAAAGUCAAUUGUUGAUCAUGAUGGAAGAAAAAUUGGAGCUUGAUUAUGAAGGCCAG
rnacentral:lncRNA from 1 species